CGCGUGAGGAACCUGCCUCAAAGAGGGGGACAACAGUUGGAAACGACUGCUAAUACCGCAUAAGCCCACGGCUCGGCAUCGAGCAGGGGGAAAAGGAGCAAUCCGCUUUGAGAUGGCCUCGCGUCCGAUUAGCUAGUUGGUGAGGUAAUGGCCCACCAAGGCGACGAUCGGUAGCCGGACUGAGAGGUUGAACGGCCACAUUGGGACUGAGACACGGCCCAG
rnacentral:rRNA from 1 species